rfam:Hepatitis C virus isolate QC382, complete genome
AUCCCGGUCGUAGGCGCCCCCGUGGGUGGCGUCGCCAGGGCCCUGGCGCAUGGCGUCAGGCUUCUGGAGGACGGGGUUAAUUAUGCAACAGGGAAUCUUCCCGGUUGCUCUUU